rnacentral:tRNA from 1 species
CAGGAUAUAACUCAGUAGCAUAGUGCUUGCCUGGCAAGCAUGAGGGCCUGAGUUCGAUUCUUAGUACCCUCC